rnacentral:rRNA from 1 species
UCGGGAAUCUUGCACAAUGGGCGAAAGCCUGAUGCAGCAACACCGUGUGAGCGAGGAAGGCCUUCGGGUCGUAAAGCUCUGUUGUUGGGGACGAAGGGCGAAGGGUUAAUAGCCCCUAGCCUGACGGUACCCUUCGAGGAAGCCCCGGCUAACUACGUGCCAGCAGCCGCGGUAAUACGGAGGGUGCAAGCGUUGUCCGGAAUCACUGGGUGUAAAGGGUGUGUAGGUGGGACUGUAAGUCAGAGGUGAAAGCCCACGGCUCAACCGUGGAAUUGCCUUUGAUACUGCAGUUCUUGAGUCCCGGAGAGGUCAUCGGAAUUCGUGGUGUAGCGGUGAAAUGCGUAGAUAUCACGAGGAACACCAGAGGCGUAAGCGGAUGACUGGACGGGUACUGACACUGAGGCACGAAAGCGUGGGGAGCAAACAGGAUUAGAUACCCCUGUAGUCC